UUAUAUACAGAAAAGGGAAGAGAAUAGUGGAGGAAGCACCAGAAAGAGAAAAGGAGAGAAAAGAGAGAAAAUAUAAAGGAUAGAGAAUAAAGGGUGAACGAAAGAAAAGGUAACAAAACGAAUAAAGCGAGAUAAAGAGAAACAAGGUGAGAAACUGUGGAAGAAUAAGAUAUGAACAAGAGCUAAGAUUGAUUAAAGUGGAACAAGAGCGGAGGAGUUCGCAAAUAAUUAACUCAUUUGAAAAUUUCAAUUAAUAAAUUUUUAUAGAAAUGGAAGCUUGUUAAAUUUAUUUUAUAAGAUAACAAUGAAAUUUCAUAAAAUUUUUACACCGGUUUUAACCGAUUUGUAUCUCUCCCUACACUACGACUGCAAUUUACCCUACGUGUUUUCAAAGCUUUAUUCAGUCAACAAGUCCUAUAAAUGUAAUAUCUCUUAUUAUUCAUAUUUAUGCCUCUGUUAAUGACUAGUAAUUGGAUUUCUUACAUGAUAUUAUGAAAAGUACUGUUAUAUAAUAUAUAUAUUGUUAUAUACAUAUUUAUUUAAUAGGAUUUAUAUGUUCUGAAAGAAUCAAUUCUAAUACUUAAACUUUGUCCUAAGCAUAUUGUUUACCUUAUACAUCUAAACAACAUACGUGCAUAAUAUUUUUAAAUCCACAAAAUUAAUGAUAAUGAUACAUUCAUGAUAAUGACAAUGAUGAUGAUAAAGUGAUACAUUUCAAUCGAUUUCUACUAUAUCAACAGGAAUAGAAAUAUGUACGAUGACCUUUUGUAGCUAUGUGCGUUUGUUUACUACUAGACUAUAGGGUAACUAUUUUCGAUGCACCCUACUAAUUGUUCUUCCAUUUCAAACAAUUGUGAUUAAUAUCAUAGAAAAGGGUAAACAUAUAUUUUUUUUUGUUUCGAAUAUACUUUACUUAACAUUUAAUAUAUUUGAUUAUUUAUUUGUAUCUAUUUUAUAAUUACUAGUAAAUAAAUGUGUAGUAAUUUAUACAUGUGUUACUUUCGACUUGUAUAUUUUAAUCCUUCUAAAGAAAAAUUUAUUAUUAUCUUUACUUUUUUACCAAAAGUAAAAGAUAGAUAUAAAAGCUAUCCGAAAAAGAAAACAUACACAUUCAUAUAUAAAAUACAAAUGCAUUAUGUACAGAGUACAAUAUUACAUAUGCUAAAGUGAAAUAUUUAAAUAAAUCAAAAUUAACAUACCUUUCUAAAGACUACAUAUUCUAUGUUCUACAGGGACAAUAAUCGUUAUCUUCGAAAUUUGUAAAAUGCGAGACGAAUGUUGAAUCGCAAUUUACCCAAACUCCAUUACCAAGACUUAAUGUAUUAUCAGAAUGCAGAAAUUGUAGAAAAUCCAUCGAUAAAAUUUCUUGCACUAUUAAACGAUAUAAACAGAUUCACACAAAUAUAUAAAUAAGUACAAUAUUUCUUUUUACGCUUUAUUAUGAUUUAUGACAUGACUAUCAAACCCAUGAUAUCGGCAUGAUAGCAUUAUAGAUCAUAUUACAGGUAUAGACAUAUUAGACACAUAUCAGCAUAUUACAUCUUUACAUUCAAAUAGAAUUAAUUACGCGAUGAAUAUAUAAUAUUUUUAUAUUAUAAGAAUAAUUAUUUAAUAAUAAGGUAAUAAAUUUUAUGUACGUAAUUUAUGUAUUGUAAGUAAUGAACAAAGCAACCGUGAAA